rnacentral:rRNA from 1 species
UACGGAGGAUGCAAGCGUUUAUCCGGAAUGAUUGGGCGUAAAGGGUCCGCAGGUGGCAAUGUAAGUCUGCUGUCAAAGAAUGAGGCUUAACCUCAUCAAGGCAGUGGAAACUACAUAGCUAGAGUACGGUCGGGGUAGAAGGAAUUCCUGGUGUAGCGGUGGAAUGCGCAGAUAUCAGGAGGAACACCGGUGGCGAAGGCGGGUCUCUGGGCAGUAACUGACGCUGAGGAGCGAAAGGCGUGGGGAGCGAACAGG